AUUUGUGACCUACAAGUGUGUGGUUUAGUCCCUGUGCUUCCCACCUCUUUGGUAUGGAUUUGGUACCAUUCUAAGGUUCACAUCAACUUGUAAACAUUUUAUUUAGUCAUAGAUUCAAAGCCCUAAGGGAUCUUCAAAGUCAUCUAGACCAAGCCUGUCAAACCAUGGCCCAGAGAAAUGAAGCAACUUGGAGAAGAUCAUACAGUUGGUAGCUGGAACCUAAAAGGAAGCUGAAAUAGCAGUAGAUUUGAAAUUAGAUGAUCUGGGUUCCAGAUUCAGAUGAAACUUUUAUUGGGAUGUUGGGAGAUUUUACUCAAGACAGAGCAACAGUUCAACAGACACAAAAGAGGCCCGUAAAAAAAAAAAAAAAAGUCUGCUACAUUACUCAGCCUGGGCCCGGGCUUGGAGCUGGAGUUCACUCCUUGGCUUUCAUUUACUUGAUGGUGGGAUGGGGAAAGGAGACAAUUUCCCCUGUUAGAAAUUCUGCGGCAGCCUCUCCUCUCUUGGGUUUCGGUAUUUAUUUUAAGGGAUGAAUUAUGUAUGGGUAUAAAUUGUGUUUGACACAUCCCAAUGUGGAAAAAAAAAUUGAGUUUUUCCUUGCUAUGAAAAACAUUCUCCAGAACAUAUCACACUCAGAAUGAGUCCAAAAAAAAAUUAAAAAACUUAAAACCAACAACCCCCCACAUAUGGAUGUUGCUGCUUAGUUUUAUGAAAUUAAAGGGACACUGUCUGAAACUUCAGGAAGGUUGGCAAUGAUUAGUGAGGGAAUGAACUCAUAUUUUAAAAUGUUGGCUGAUAGGAUCGCCAAGUGGAGCUGAAGUCCAAAGAAAGAAGAAUCAAAAUUGAACUAGACAUAAGAUAAGCACCUUGGUGUUAUAAACUAGUUAUAUGAUAUCAUCAUAGAAUGUUAGAAGUGGACAGGACACUAGAGCAGAGAAUAUUAGCAAGCAGGAUGUUAGAACAUAGGGUAGUAUAGCUAAAAUGUUCCUUAGGACUUGGAAUGUUAGAACUAGAAGGGAUCUUAAGUUAUAAUAUGUAAGGAAUAAAGCAUGCUAGGAGCUGAGAGGAAUCUUAAAGAUCUAUUCUAAUCAAACAUUUUUAAAGUAAAGAGAGCCCCAGAGAGGUCAGCUUAGCCAUGGCCACCCAACUAAGUAAUGGUGAAGUUGUGAUUAGAAUCCAGGUCAAACCUCCUUCUUCCCAGGCCAAGGUUAGUUCAAAUGUGCCAUACUACAUCAUUUCCCCUGGCAAAUGCUAAAGCUUACUGGAAACUUUAAUUUAGCUCAAUGUGUCCUUGGGGAAUGUAUUGAGGGGCACCAGUGGCUUAAAAGGUGGUCAUUGUGACCCCUGAUUUGUGGGGAUGAUGUAUUUUGCAAACUCUAGGGUCAAAUUGUUCCAACAGCUUAGCAUGCUCCAUAAGUUGUCAGCAGGUUGGCAGACACUCCAAUUCCCAAAGAGAGUGAAUUCAUUUUAAAGUUGGAGAGCAUGGGAAAUGAGAGAGUUUUUCAUUCUAAAAAUUAAUUUGGGGAAAUUGGCUUCAAUUGAGUUGGGCUUAUUUUUUUUUAUUUUGGUUUUAAAAAAUAAAUAUGUGGCAACACCCAUCAUAUGUUUUUCUGGCUCUUCAGUUGGGCAAUAGCAUAGAAAUAAA